CCUACGGGCGCUGCAGUGGGGAAUAUUGGACAAUGGGCGAAAGCCUGAUCCAGCCAUGCCGCGUGUGUGAAGAAGGCCUUCGGGUUGUAAAGCACUUUCAGUGGGGAAGAAAGCCUUGGGGCUAAUACCCUCGAGGAAGGACAUCACCCACAGAAGAAGCACCGGCUAACUCCGUGCCAGCAGCCGCGGUAAUACGGAGGGUGCGAGCGUUAAUCGGAAUUACUGGGCGUAAAGCGCGCGUAGGCGGUCUGAUAAGCCGGUUGUGAAAGCCCCGGGCUCAACCUGGGAACGGCAUCCGGAACUGUCAGGCUAGAGUGCAGGAGAGGAAGGUAGAAUUCCCGGUGUAGCGGUGAAAUGCGUAGAGAUCGGGAGGAAUACCAGUGGCGAAGGCGGCCUUCUGGACUGACACUGACGCUGAGGUGCGAAAGCGUGGGUAGCAAACAGGAUUAGAUACCCUGGUAGUC
rnacentral:rRNA from 1 species